AAUGAACAAUAUGUGCUCAUCUAGAUUCUGAAUGAUUGAAAACGUUGUGCAAAAUCAUUGCAUAGUAAUCGAACUGGGUGACGGAGAAGAAUUGCCAACGUUAUUCGAUUCUCGUGUCCAUCACGUUCACUCCAACAACUGGAAAGCCGAGUAUUCCAUUGGAUUUUAUUGAAAAAACCCAAAACGAGAGUAAAUUGGAUUCAUUACCGAUUUAAGCUAGAUUAUGUCGGAAGCAAAAAUUUGGUCAAACGGAUCGAGUGACUCAGCAGUUUAAUGUUGGACGAAUCCAUUUGGUAAAUUCACAAAAAUACAUGUUGUGCCAAUAAAUAGUGCAUUAAUUGAAAAAUGAAAGGAAUAAGAAAUUUAAAAUACAUAAUGAAAAAAAAAAA